rnacentral:lncRNA from 1 species
GGUGUCAUGUGAGGCUGGAUGUGGGCUCCAAAGUCAUAGCUGUGACAUUCGCAGGCAGCGGGGAUGUUCUCAGUCCCACAUUUGGCAGAGAAGUCAGUCAAGAGGUUCUACAAGGGCUGGUGUCCACCUUAUACUCCUAGAAACACAAAACUGCCCCCACCCCCGCUUUCUUGGAGCAGGAAGUUACACCCACACGCAUGCACAGGCGCACACUCAGCGGGCCUAGGCACGCAUGGCUCUUGUGUUGCCUUAGCUGAAAUUUCUGUUGUGCUUUCUCAGCAUAGCAGAGUCACGCUGGCAAACCAUCAUGCGCCCUGGCCACCGACCUGACACCAGACCCAGGAGCAUUCACUUCUCUGUCUUCUGUUUCUCUCCCACAGUGUCGCCCUUCCAAAGGCAGGAAGCGGGGCUUCUGCUGGUGUGUGGAUAAGUAUGGGCAGCCUCUCCCAGGCUACACCACCAAGGGGAAGGAGGACGUGCACUGCUACAGCAUGCAGAGCAAGUAGACGCCUGCCGCAAGGUUAAUGUGGAGCUCAAAUAUGCCUUAUUUUGCACAAAAGACUGCCAAGGACAUGACCAGCAG